CUCUCUCUCUCUCUCUGUCGCGCUCUCUUUUAUACUCGGUUUACUUCCCAAUAAGCGUAAAGGCAGUUUUAGCCCACUUUACAUCAUGGGAAACACUACAUGUUCUUCCUCUGCGCAUGCUGGCUUGAUGCAGCUGCCUUUGUGUGUCUACACACACUCUAGAAACGCCCCUCUGACAGAACAAAAACAAUGUAAUGGAAGUGCAUGUAAUAAAACAUAAAGCCCAGUUUAUAAGGGGAAAAGUAUUCCAAACAUUAACAACCCUAUGUCAGACACAUAUCUCAGAUAUCUUAUCAGAGCAUCUGUUCUGUGGCAAACGACAAGAGGAAGAAGAAAGAAAUACACGCAAAGAUAACACCAGGAACCAUCCAGCACUCACCGGGGCAUUACACAGCCGCAGCCUGCCGUCCAGAAACAAAGAUCCGGGGAAACGAUGCGAGCUCCGUGCAAGCAAAGAAAGUGAAACACGACCGCAGCUCUGCCUCUAUGGUGUGUCGGGGAGAUUCAGUUGAUAGAGAGGGGAACAGUCGGUGCGGGUCGGCACCGGGGCUGGGGGGAGAUGAGAUAAGCCGGAGGCUGCUACAGAGCCGGUUAUUGUGAGCGACUGUCCGCUCUCUGUCAGCGCUUCAGAGCGAUGAUCUGAGUGAGGGGGCGGAGAGGAAGCGAUCACCCCGAUUCAGCAUCUCCCAGACCUUAGUUUCCACGAGUGUCACAGUUACUGGUCUCCAAACCCGCUGAAGGAUAAACAAAGAGAAAAUUAUAAUUCAGACCCCAUCUUUCUCAUCCCUUCGCCCCUCCAUCUCACUCCAGUUUCGUUAUUAUAGCUUGAUGAUUACCACGGCCAUCUAUCAUCCUGACAGGCACAACAUCUGUGGGUCUGAGAUCCCCCAAGACAGGAAGCCAGAGAGGAGCCUUUGUUGACUGUGGGUUCUGCAGAACAUCCACCUGGUGAGGAGCUGGUGAGGAGAGUGAAAAUGAAAAACACACGGCUUUUGUGAGCAUGGCAUUGGCUAGUGUUUAAAAGAGGAACAGAAGAAAAUGGCUGCUGAUGAACUAAAGUGUGCCAGUUUUAUUAUAUAAAUUAUGAUGAAAUUAGUCUAUUUCACAAGCCAUUUGAGCCAUGCUGUUGUUGCUAAAAAACUGAGGGGAAAAACAGUGAUGUUAAAGGUAAAUCUACAGCUAUAGUUGGAUAAACGCAGUGUGAUUGGUUCCUCAUUCUCAAGCCAUAUUAAGAUAUGAUUUCUUGCUUUCCUAAACCCUUUUCUGACAACUCCAGAAAACUGCGUGAGCUCAAAGUGUGUGGGUUGUUGACCUUUAUGAAGACUAACAGAGCGGAAAAAACAGGAAAAAGCAAAGUUUCUCCAGCAUCUCAAUAAUCUGUUGACUUACAAACUUCAGCAGCCGCUGGAAGGUCACGGUGAGCGUAAUAAUUAUGCAGGGUUGCUUCAGCUGAGAGAGGCUCCAUAGAGAACAGAUCCAUGAGUCACCUAAUGUAAUGAACUGUGUGUGAUGCUGUUAUGAUGUUGUGGGUUUGUCAAGGAGAAGACACAGUUACAGAUACACUUCUGCAUUUUGUGUUCCAUUUCUGCCUCAUUAGUGUACAGAUAUCUAAGCUAAUGGGGAUUCAUGGCGUGAGAGCACAGAUGAAGAUGUCUUUCUCACCUCUAAUCUGAAACAUCGUGGCAUAAAACAGUUUGGGAAACAAGACUUUAUUAGGUCUUCAGACUGGAAAAAGUAUCUUACAAUGUUUGGCUGAAUUAUGUUUCGGGGAUGAAUCAUUUGCUAAACACAAGCCAGUAAGUGGGUCUGUGGUUUCUUUGUAAUUACAGAAGGAGGUUUGAAACCAGAGAGCCGCUGCUAUCGCUAAGAUGAAAAGUGACAAGAAAUAUUUCCAACAACAGGAUUUCUGUCUCUCGCUCUCCUUUUUUUUUAUGUAUCUAAAGGGAAUCUUGGUAUAGUCUAUCAAAUUUGCAUCUUACAGAAGCAUAUCUGCUCUUUGUCCUGCAAAAAUAGAACAGGUUUACAAAUGGAAAGUAGAAAACUGUCAAAUGCUUUGGUUGCAGUUGCACCCAAAGAGACUUCCUCUAAGGAUGGUUUUAUUCAGUAGCAGGAAAAGAAUCAAAAUGCAUGGUGACAACCAUCCUGACCGAUAUCCCAGCUAACCUAUCCCAGCUACCAUAGGGCAAGAGGUAAGUUACAUCCUGGACAGGUCAGCAGUCUGACACAGAGGAACAGGCAACCAUUUGCACUCACAUUCACAGUUAUGGGCAAUUUAGAGUCAUCAUAUAACCCAACCCUACCAACUGCAUUGGACUGUGUGAAGAAGCUGGAGUACCCGGACACAGAGAGAACAUGCAACUCCCCCCCACAUAGGUGGUGGAGGCGACUCAGUUUGACCUUCUUGCUGUGAGGCAACAGUACCACUGCACCACCCCCUUGUUUAAAAGCCUGUUUCUAGUCCAUUGAAUCCUUGUAAAUGUAAAACAG
ensembl:lncRNA